UCCCACAGUCAUAAUGUGCUGGGCUCCCACAGUCCCAGGAAGCAGGGGAUCCACCCUCAGCCCCGAGAGCCUGCUCUGUCCACAGAGGAAGCCGUGACAUUCUCAGAGCCAGCUGUCUGUCAGUACCACCUUGGCAGUGUGAGCCUGAGAGCCUGUGAUAGAGUGGGAGGAAGGGAGCACCUCACAGGCUCAAGUGGGCACCCUGUCUCCUGCCAACAGUCUGGGCCAGACUCAAGAUGCAAAAUGGUUUCCACAUUCCCAAAUAGGGAAUCUACAUCCCAGAAAGGAAUAAACAGAGGGAUGGCACUGGCCCUCUUCUGCUUGAAUCUCAAUAGACAGAAUUCUUUCACUUGACUGCUACUAAGAGAGACUGAUUUGCAGGAUUGAUGAGUGAGUAUAUCAAGCUAAAACUACUCAGUGUAUGAAAAUCAUUUGGCCACAGGGAUUGAUUAAGGUAUAUGCAUGUGAUGUAGGUUGUUUUUUAUAAGAUUAAAUCCAGAUCUUUUAGUACAUGAUUGAAGUCAAUGGUUCUCAGACUUAAUGGAUCCACAAUUACUUGGACAUUUUUAAAAAUACAAGUUGCUGGGCCCUAUCUCCAGUUUCUGGGAUCAUGGACACGGUAAAACAUUUUGCCACUAACAGUUGUCCAUGUGAUGUUGCUCCUGCUAAUUGGAAGAUCGUUUGUUGAAAACCACUGGUUGUGGGCCUCAGUUCUCAAAGUGUGAUUCACAGGUCAGAAUUUUUGAUCUCAUCAGACUGUGUGACCAGCCUGAGACUGGUCAUAGGGCUGCUUUAUCACUCUCCUCCAACCUUGGGCAGUUCGCAAGGGACCACACAACUAUGUCUUUGGAUUCAGUGAUGGGCCAUGAAAGCCCCUCACUGGUCAGAUACUAAUGCUUUCCAUCCUGAGGUGAGUGCCUAUGAACAGAAUCUCUGGAGUUGCUCAAAUAGCAGGCCGAAACCUGAGUUCUGGUGAGCAUACUUGUUUUGGUAUGUAUUACCCUCAGCCUCUUAUAAGAUUGAAGAGAGCAUUGUGACUGUGUGACCUACUUAGAACCUGCCUGAACAGCUCAAGGGCUGCUUCUAUCAUGUUGACAGUGCUCAGCAGAGUUCGGAGGUCCUGGUUGAACAAUAUUAGAUCCCAAUCAACAUCACCAUAUCUUUAUAACUGAUGUUGGUCAUUUCCCCCUUUGGCUAUAUAAGAAGCUGAUAAGUCUAGUUGUUGUUGGCAGUCAUCCUGUGACCACACAUGGGCAAGCCCUGAAAACUGAUGCAGAUGGUAUGGAAACAGAGUAAAGACAAAGCUCUUGGAAAAAUUGUUAAUCAUGGAAAAGAUUAACAAAAAAGAUUCCUUAUGCUGGCAUUGCAUAAAGAUAUUGAUUCGAGUCCUGGGCUGUUCCAUUUCCAAUCCAGCUCCCUGAUAAUGUGUCUGGGAAAACGGAAAGAUUAUCCAUGUUCCUGGGCCCCUGCACCCACACAGGAGAUGCAGUUGGAGUUCCAGGCUCCUAACUUUGGCCUGGCGCACUCUUGGCUGUUGCAGCUAUCUGGUUAUUCCCCGAUGCUGGGAGAGGAAGAGAUGAAGGAGGAAUGGGGACAAUUUGAUUGACAGAUAUUAUUUUGUAGCUAUAGAGAUGUAAGAAGAUCUAGAGUUCUAUUGCUCACAAGUUAAUAAUAGAUAAUGUACUAUAUAUUUCUCUGUUUUGGAACACCUAUAAGAUAGGAUUCUGGAUGCUUUCAAAAUAAAUAAAUUUUAAGUACAUGAAAGGAUAAAUGUAUUCACCCUGAUUGGAUAUUAGGCAAUGUAUACACAUAACAAAACAUCACAUAAUAACCCAUAAAUAUGCACAUUUUUACAUGUCUACUAAAUUUUAAAAGUACAUGAAUAUAUGUCCCAAAAAUAUGUUUAUGCUAAUAGUAUUUAGUAGCAAUAAUUUCUGUUGUUUUAAAAAUUUUAUUAAUAUAAAGAAAAAAUUUCAUGUAUUUCCUAGAUACAAUUCUAAGAAGGUAACCUGUGGGGAGCAACUCGGACUAGACUAAGUUACUGGAAUUAAGACUUAUUCUAUGCAUCUGCUCUCCCACAAUAAUGGCGCUGGGAGAGGAGGAAACAGCUUCUACACAGCUGCCUCCAGUUCAACCAAUAAACAGCAGGACCUGCUCCUGAUUGGAGGAGAGCAGCAUACUCAGCUUGUGGGUAGCAGAGUUGGGAUUGGUGGAAGAGGACUAUAAAGGAGGAGAGAGACAACAUGCACCAGGAACAUCUAUCUGAAGGAACACCUGUGCAGCCCCCGAGAGAGUCGGCCGGCGGUGUGCCGCUCCCCCGCGGAAGUGGGGAAAGUGGCAGGGGGAACCGCCCUUCCACGGAGGUGGAAGGGACGGUAGCCAACCCGGGAAGAACCAGCAGCAAACCCGGGGAGGGCAGAGCAGACAAAAGAACAGCGCAGGGUCCUGUGUCGUUCCUCCACGAAGAAGGGGAGCGACAGUAACCUUACUCCCCUCUCUCCUGUAAUUCCCCCCUCAUUCCUUUUUUCUUUUGUCCUUUAAAUUUUGCAAUAGCACAUACUAAAUUUAUUUUAUAAUCAUAGGCUUAAAAACAUACACGACUAAAAAAUGUUCAGCAAGUGAAAAGUAGAGAGACCACUGUUCCCCAGGAAUACAGAAAACGGUCAUAAAUGAUAAUCAAAUCAUAGAUGUCAGUUUCAUUUUAUACAUUGUUUUCCUUUUGCAUGCUAUAUUAACUGCCACAUAUCAGAGAAAACAUGAUAUUUGUCUUUGGGACUGGCUUAUUUCACUAAACACAAUGGUCUCCUGUCACAUCCAUUUUGCUGCAAAAGACAGAAUGAAAUCAACAUAUGAAAGAGUUAUUAGUACCCCCAUGUUUAUUGCAGCUCAAUCUAUAAUAAUUAAGAUGUGGAAUCCACCCAGAUGUCCAUCAACUGAUGACUGGUUUAAAAAAAAUGUGGCAUAUAUACACAAUGGUGCAUUACUCAGCCAUACAAAUUAAAAAAGAAUGAAAUCCUAUUGUUUUUAACUGUUAAAACUAGAGUAAGAGAAAGAAAAACAUGGGGAUAAAUAAUUGGGGACAGAUAAUUUCUUAAGGCAAUUGAGCAAGAAUUGAAGAAACCAUGUGGUAAGAGAAAUUGAAAGAUAAAGAAAUUGCUUGACAUCAACGUUCCCAGUCUUAGACUAUAUGUGUAAUUAUACACUUCCCCAGAGAGGAAGAAAAAUAACAGCAUUCACAGCCAUUCUAUGGAUACUUAUCACAUGCCAGACAUUAUGUUAAAUAUUUCCUAUACUUUGUCUCAUUUGAUCCUCAUUUAUGUCAGAUAAUAUUGAAAACACACUACACAGUGUAUAUGCUCUUCUUGUUUUAUUUAUUAGGAAGCAGAAGUUAGGUUAAAUAAUUUGACAAGCAACACAACUGUUAGUAUGUAGGACCCUACAUUAUAAAUAAAAAUAUGUGGCUAAAAAUCAUUGUUAACUAGGAAGUAAUAGUAACAAAUGAGUAGAAUGGUUUUAUGGUAGAUAGUGCUUUUUUUAGAAACCAGUUAAUUCAUCUUCCUCAUAGAGUUGGUUAUUAUCCAUAGAGUAAGAAGAAAUAUGGGAUUUGAAACAUAUUACUUUGCUUACUUAGAGGAAUUCCUUAUAGGUGGCAUGGGGUUGCUGAUAAAGGCAGUGUAAGCUUGUUAGUUGUGUAUACUCCUGAAGGUAAGGAAUAAUUUAUUAUAUACAUAUUUAUCACAUUUUAAAAGUAAAUAAAGAGCACUAGCUAUUACAGGUAUCUAAUGACUGUUAAUUACUUCACACAAAAACAAUACCACUCCCAAUAAAUCUACAGUUGUUCACAGCAACAAUAAGAUAUUAAAUAUUUUGCUUAAUUUCUUAUUUACAUGUAAAUCUUCAAGUGGUUUUUUAAAAUGUUAAAAUAUACAGUUAUCAGUAUGGACUCUCAGUAACAAACUAAAUAUAGCUAUCCUCUAAUUGCCACAUGAAAAUCUGUGAUAAAAGAAAUAUUUUAACUAUUUGUUUACUUCCUCAUUUGUCCAAUUACUGCUGAGAUUAAAGCAAAUGAAAAUAAAAUAUUGCUGUCCUUCAACUGGCAUUUGGAAGGAGAGACCAAGGCCAUUCCUUAGAAAAUAAAAUAACCAUACUCUAGAUAUCCCUCUUUUCAGGGAUUAUAUUUCAAAGAAUAAAAGCUUUCCUUACUAUAUCUAUACUAGCUCUUGUGUUAUUUGCAAAGAUAUUUUUAUAUAACAGCAAUUUUAUGUGUUUGUGUUUUAAGUGAAGAAAUGCAACUUAGGGAAAAAAAGACAAUGUUCUGUACCAUAAAGGAAAUGUUUUUCUUUAUAUAAUUAGUACCAUAUCCUUCACUGUAAUCUGAAAGCAAGGGAUAUAGCUAUAGACACUAAGUCUAUUUCAUAUGCAUGCAGAGUAUUAAUGAAUAUUUCUAAAAUGUAGAAGCCUUCUCUAUUAAAAUGAUUAUAGAGUGGGCAUUAUUCAUAGAAUCUUUCAAUAUUAUGCCAGAUAAUAUUAAAACAGGAAAUGAAAAUGCAAAAUAUUUGACUGGAAAUAUUAUUGGUAUGCAAAGAAUUCAUAUUAUCUUUAAUACAAAGGUAAUAUCACAAAUCUUCUUCAUCUAUUAUACAGUAAUCAGUGAUGAAAACACCCUCUUCAUUCAUUAAAAGGAAAUAUAUGGUUGGGUGGAAGCUCUGUUUCUGGAAAUACUUUGGAUUAAAGUUAACCACGGGAGGACUUGUGUUGGGGUGUAGCAAACAAAAGGAGAGACAGGACACAGGAACUCUUCCUCUGAAGAGUGCCACCUGACAAAACCCAGCGUAUUUCUUUACUCGCCAGGAUUACAUCAGCUAUUUGUACAGUGUGUACACAUAAUCAUAUAACUCUGAGAUUUCUUUGCAACAUGUUUAGCAAGACAUAUUAGAUAAGCAUGUCAGGGAAGGCAGCUGCAUGUCAUUGUAGGUCCCAACAUUCCCAUGAGGGCUCAAUGUUCUUCUUAUUAGUAAGUCAUUUGCUAACCUUAAUCAGUUCCCAAAGCCACACCCUGUGUCCAGGAAGAGUGUGUCCUCACUUGGAGUGCUUUGGCAGAAGCUACAUUCCUACAGACUUGUAUACAGAAAACAACAAUAUAUUAAUUAAAACAUAAACGGAGACAUAAAUAAAUGGAAAGACAUCACAUGUUCAAGGAUUGGAAGACGUUAUUGUUAAAAUGUCCAUAUUACAAAAAGUAACCUAGAGAUUCAAUGCCGUCUCCAUCUAAAUGUCAAUAACAUUUUUACAGAAAAAGAGUAAAGGUUCUAAAAUUCAUGUCAACUCAAAAAGGAUCCAGAUAGCUAAAGAAAUCUGAGAAAGAAAGUAAAGCUGGGGGCAUCACACUUCCAGACCUCAAAAUAUUUUAUGAAGCUAUAUUAUUUAAAACAGAAAGGUAGUAUCAUAAAAGCAGGUACAUAGACCAAUACAACAGGAUAUAGAAUUCAGAAACAAAUCCACACAUUCAAUCAACUGAUCUUUAAGAAAAAAUGUCAAGAAUACAAAUUGGGUAAGGAUUGUUUUUUUCAAAAAAUGGUGUUAGUGAAACUGGUUACCCAAAGGCAGGACAAUGUAUUGGAUAUAUCUUACAUUACCCAUAAUAAACAAUUGUAAAUGGAUUUAAAUUUAAACAUAGGCUCUGAAACUGUAAAAUUGCUAAGUGAAACCAUGGGCAAAAAUAUUCUUGACCUUGCUUUUGUCAAUAUUGUUUUUUAAAUAUGGCUUCAAAUACACAGGCAACAAAAGCAAAAAUACACAAAUGGAAUUGCAUAAAAAACACCAAACAUCUGCAUAGCAAUGGAAACAAUCAAUACAAAGAAUAUUGCAACCUACAAAAUAUAUGAAAUACAUUUAUUUUGUAAAGCUUUGGUAUCCAAAAAAAAAAAAAUUCCUACAAUUCAAUAGACAAAAAGAAAAAUAGCAGAAAAAGUUAAAAGACUUAAACAGAUUUCCUCAAAUAUGAUGUAAGAUGGUUAACAGGCAUACUGAAAAAUAUAUUCAACAUUAUCGUAGAAAUGUAACUAUAAUUUUAUAUCACCUACUACUGGUUAGGAUGGCUAUUUACAAAAAAACAAGAUGGAAAAUGGUGGCAAGCAUGUGGGGAAAUUUGAGCCCUUGUACAUUGUUGAUGGGAAUGUGAAAAUGGGACCAUAACUUUGGAAAAUUGUAUGUAAGUUCCUCAAAGAAUUAAAAAUGGAACCACCACUUCUAUGUACAAAGGAAUUAAAGCCAGGAUCUCAGAGAUAUUCCGAGAUACAUAUAUUCCUUAUAAUAUUAAUGAUAAUAGCCACUGCAUAGAAUCAACCUGAAUAUGAAACAAUGGAUAAGUGAAUGAAGAAAAUGUUGUAGGGGGGCGGAGCCAAGAUGGCGGAAUAGUGAGGGCGCGCACCGAUAGUCCGGGAAAAUUUAGUUUAAUAAAAGGGGAGUUACGGUAGCCGCAGAAAAAAGAACCAGGGAAAAAAUUGCACGGGAAUCGUGAAUCGGAGGACCUACUGGGAGAACAAGGUCGCCCACCGCGCGGAAGCCAAGUCGCGGGACCCAGCCACAGAAGCCCCAGUGCUCCAAGGGGAGUGCAUGCCACACAGACAACAGCGGGGAGACUUGGGACACUCAGGGCUCCACAUCGGCGCUGGAAGGGGAGGUGAGCUCAAUAACCCGAGACAUUGGUGGGGAAACGGGGGUCAGAAUCUAGAGGGGGGCCAGAAAGUGCAGCAAACUCACUACCGGAAAGAAGGAAAAAAAAAAAAAAAAGCUUCGGGGUUUCUCUUCCCCCUAACCUUGCAAAGGUUACAAAGCAGCAAGGCUAGAAGAAUUCCCAAGAGACAAAGAGCAGGCCUGCUCUCUGGAUUUACAUAUCAAUGGGGGAGAGCUAAGGAACUGAGUCACUACAAUUCAGUAGCCUAGGCAACCCAGUGGGAGUCCAG